CUAUGCCAUGCCACCCUGAACAAGCCUGAUCCCGUCCGAUCUUGGAAGCUAAGCAGGGUCGGGCCUGGUUAGUACUUGGACACUUAGUCCAUCUGAAGUAUUCUGUGAACCGCAGA
rnacentral:rRNA from 1 species